AGCGAACGUUUGCGGCGGGCUUAACACAUGCAAGUCGAACGAGAAUCCCUUCGGGGAGGAAAGUGGCGCACGGGUGCGUAACACGUGGAUAACCAACCCAUUGGUUUGGGACAACACCGGGAAACUGGUGCUAAUACCAGAUGUGUCGCAGCUGUCUUCAGGCGGUUGCGAGAAAGGCCCGCAAGGGUCGCCAACGGACGGGUCCGCGUCCCAUCAGCUAGUUGGUGAGGUAAUGGCUCACCAAGGCAAAGACGGGUAGCUGGUCUGAGAGGAUGAUCAGCCACACUGGAACUGAGACACGGUCCAGACUCCUACGGGAGGCAGCAGUGGGGAAUAUUGCGCAAUGGGCGAAGGCCUGACGCAACCACGCCGCGUGAGCGAUGAAGGUCUUCGGAUCGUAAAGCUCUGUGGGGGAGAAGAAGAAAGCCGGUGAAGAGCCGGCCCUGACGGUAUCCCCUUAGCAAGCACCGGCUAACUCCGUGCCAGCAGCCCGGUAAUGU
rnacentral:rRNA from 1 species